UAACGAAUCUUCCGCAAUGCACGCAAGUGUGACGGAGCGACGCCGCGUGUGGGACGAAGUUCUUCGGAAUGUAAACCACUGUCAGGGGUUAGAAAGUUCUGAUCAACCCCAGAGGAAGGCACGGCUAACUCUGUGCCAGCAGCCGCGGUAAGACAGAGGUGCCGAGCGUUAGGCGGAAUCACUGGGCUUAAAGCGUGUGUAGGCGGGUCGUUAAGUGUCUUGUGAAAUCCCCCGGCUCAACCGGGGAAUGGCUGGGCAUACUGGCGAUCUUGAGCAGUCUAGGGGCAGAUGGAACAAGUGGUGGAGCGGUGAAAUGCGUAGAUAUCACUUGGAACGCCAAAGGUGAAAACAGUCUGCUGGGGACUUGCUGACGCUGAGACACGAAAGCCAGGGGAGCGAACGGGAUUAGAUACCCCCGUAGUCC
rnacentral:rRNA from 1 species